CCCCCCCCCCCCCCCGAAUUAAAGCCAUUAUGUGGUAAUUGUGUUGUUUGCUCCAUAACCUGUUAAUUCAUAUGCCUUGCGGCCCUGGUAUAUAGACCGAAAGGCAGAGACAAUAAGAGGACAGAGGCAGAAAAAAAAUCAAUCACACCGUUGUUUUACCACAAAAUCGGAUAGCAGCCUCUGACCAAAUUAAGUCCAUAAAGCAUAUUAAAUGUACAGUAACAUACCUACAGCAUGGUCAAUCAAGUUAAUGUUUCCAGUUCAACUUCAAUAUUUCAACAUCAUCAAAUCACCUCUGCUUAGUCUAAUACAGUCACAACUAAAAUAUACCAAUAACAAUUUAGUCCAAUCAACGUAAGCUAAAUAUGAUGUGGCUGUCCAUGGUUCUGAUUUCUGUGCGCGUUCGUCCAAGUAGAAAACGUGAUGACUCACCCUACUUGUAGAGAAGCACCAAUGCCAUCCUCUCUUUCGUGCUGACAAAACGGUCUAUAACUCUGUCAUACAGUACAUACUUUAAUUUUUUGUUGUCUUAGGCUACCUGGCUAAAAUGCUUGCUCGCUAGCCUAACUUUCAUGGGCAAUGUUAGCUAGUUAACAUUAGCCUUCUACAUCUAGCUACAUAUUGAACCUCAAUCCUCUCAGGCCAGGGGCACAACAAUGUAUGAAUUAAUGGUUGGAUCAGAAUCACAGUUAUAAUAAUUGUCCUGUAUGUUGUUUUAAGUAAAACCACAAGUCCAAAUCCCUAUCUCCAUCCAUGGCUAAUUUAGGAAAGGGACAAAUUUAGCUAGCUGGCUAGCUAGCCACUGGAGGACAACGACACAACGAGAUGCAACAAUUGAAGUUGUUUCUGUCAAUGAGUGACCUUCCGUAUACCGGCCUAACAAGAAGGCUGAGGGAAGAGCUUUUUCGAAUUUUCACCAGAGAAUUGCCAGAAACCGUUCUGUGGAGGGUGCAAGAUCAAGUAGUGAGUGACCAGGUAAAACGGAUUGUUGAUCUACAUGUCUGCACAUGUAAUGAGCUCUGAGGUGCAGGGUUGCAGUCAGAUGUUGUGGGUUAAUGGAUCCUGUGCUGUGUAAAUUCAGUUUUGUUUCAUAUCCAGCAUAUAUCAAACAAAUGAUUGGAUAAAAUAUGUAACUUUUUCCAGGUAAUUUAUUUACAUGUUAUUAGCUACAAUCAUCCAGGUAUCAUCAGAGAGGUGGUUUUGACUGCAAGGUAUAUGUGAAGAGCCUACCCAAUGGUUUUUACUUGCAUAGGCCAAAAGGAUGUUUUACAAAAGCCGUGUAAAUUAAUAGCUUAGGAUAUUAAAUGUUUUUC
rnacentral:lncRNA from 13 species